rnacentral:rRNA from 1 species
GAUGAACGCUGGCGGCGUGCCUAAUACAUGCAAGUCGAGCGGACGGGCGAGAAGCUUGUUUCGCUGAUGUUAGCGGCGGACGGGUGAGUAACACGUGGGUAACCUCCCUAUAAGACUGGGAUAACUUCGGGAAACCGGAGCUAAUACCGGAUGAUAUCUUGAUCCGCAUGGUUCAAAAGUGAAUGAUGGUCUUGCUGUCACUUAUAGAUGGAUCCGCGCGGCAGUAGCUAGUUGGUAAGGUAACGGCUUACCAAGGCAACGAUGCAUAGCCGACCUGGGAGGGUGAUGCGCCACACUGGAACUGUGACACGGUCCAGACUCCUACGGGAGGCAGCGGUAGGGAAUCUUCCGCAAUGGGCGAAAGCCUGACGGAGCGACGCCGCGUGAGUGAUGAAGGUCUUCGGAUCGUAAAACUCUGUUAUUAGUGAAGAACAUAUGUGUAAGUAACUGUGCACAUCUUGACGGUACCUGAUCAGAAAGCCACGGCUAACUACGUG